AGUGAACGCUGGCGGUAGGCCUAACACAUGCAAGUCGAACGGCAGCACAGUAAGAGCUUGCUCUUACGGGUGGCGAGUGGCGGACGGGUGAGGAAUACAUCGGAAUCUACUUUUUCGUGGGGGAUAACGUAGGGAAACUUACGCUAAUACCGCAUACGACCUACGGGUGAAAGCAGGGGAUCUUCGGACCUUGCGCGAUUGAAUGAGCCGAUGUCGGAUUAGCUAGUUGGCGGGGUAAAGGCCCACCAAGGCGACGAUCCGUAGCUGGUCUGAGAGGAUGAUCAGCCACACUGGAACUGAGACACGGUCCAGACUCCUACGGGGGGCAGCAGUGGGGAAUAUUGGACAAUGGGCGCAAGCCUGAUCCAGCCAUGCCGCGUGGGUGAAGAAGGCCUUCGGGUUGUAAAGCCCUUUUGUUGGGAAAGAAAAGCAGCAGGUUAAUACCCCGCUGUUCUGACGGUACCCAAAGAAUAAGCACCGGCUAACUUCGUG
rnacentral:rRNA from 1 species